rnacentral:rRNA from 1 species
UACGUAGGGUGCAAGCGUUGUCCGGAAUUAUUGGGCGUAAAGAGCUCGUAGGCGGUUUGUUGCGUCGGCUGUGAAAUCCCGAGGCUCAACCUCGGGUCUGCAGUCGAUACGAGCAAACUAGAGUGUUGCAGGGGAGACUGGAAUUCCUGGUGUAGCGGUGAAAUGCGCAGAUAUCAGGAGGAACACCGGUGGCGAAGGCGGCUUGCUGGGCCAGUUCUGACGCUGGAGGAGCGAAAGCGUGGGGAGCGAACAGG